rnacentral:rRNA from 1 species
UUGAACGCUGGCGGCAGGCCUAACACAUGCAAGUCGAGCGGUAGCACAGAGAGCUUGCUCUCGGGUGACGAGCGGCGGACGGGUGAGUAAUGUCUGGGAAACUGCCUGAUGGAGGGGGAUAACUACUGGAAACGGUAGCUAAUACCGCAUAACGUCGCAAGACCAAAGUGGGGGACCUUCGGGCCUCAUGCCAUCAGAUGUGCCCAGAUGGGAUUAGCUAGUAGGUGGGGUAACGGCUCACCUAGGCGACGAUCCCUAGCUGGUCUGAGAGGAUGACCAGCCACACUGGAACUGAGACACGGUCCAGACUCCUACGGGAGGCAGCAGUGGGGAAUAUUGCACAAUGGGCGCAAGCCUGAUGCAGCCAUGCCGCGUGUGUGAAGAAGGCCUUCGGGUUGUAAAGCACUUUCAGCGGGGAGGAAGGCGAUAAGGUUAAUAACCUUGUCGAUUGACGUUACCCGCAGAAGAAGCACCGGCUAACUCCGUGCCAGCAGCCGCGGUAAUACGGAGGGUGCAAGCGUUAAUCGGAAUUACUGGGCGUAAAGCGCACGCAGGCGGUCUGUCAAGUCGGAUGUGAAAUCCCCGGGCUCAACCUGGGAACUGCAUUCGAAACUGGCAGGCUAGAGUCUUGUAGAGGGGGGUAGAAUUCCAGGUGUAGCGGUGAAAUGCGUAGAGAUCUGGAGGAAUACCGGUGGCGAAGGCGGCCCCCUGGACAAAGACUGACGCUCAGGUGCGAAAGCGUGGGGAGCAAACAGGAUUAGAUACCCUGGUAGUCCACGCCGUAAACGAUGUCGAUUUGGAGGUUGUGCCCUUGAGGCGUGGCUUCCGGAGCUAACGCGUUAAAUCGACCGCCUGGGGAGUACGGCCGCAAGGUUAAAACUCGAAUGAAUUGACGGGGGCCCGCACAAGCGGUGGAGCAUGUGGUUUAAUUCGAUGCAACGCGAAGAACCUUACCUGGUCUUGACAUCCACAGAACUUUCCAGAGAUGGAUUGGUGCCUUCGGGAACUGUGAGACAGGUGCUGCAUGGCUGUCGUCAGCUCGUGUUGUGAAAUGUUGGGUUAAGUCCCGCAACGAGCGCAACCCUUAUCCUUUGUUGCCAGCGGUUAGGCCGGGAACUCAAAGGAGACUGCCAGUGAUAAACUGGAGGAAGGUGGGGAUGACGUCAAGUCAUCAUGGCCCUUACGACCAGGGCUACACACGUGCUACAAUGGUUGGUACAACGAGUUGCGAGUCGGUGACGGCAAGCUAAUCUCUUAAAGCCAAUCUCAGUUCGGAUUGUAGGCUGCAACUCGCCUACAUGAAGUCGGAAUCGCUAGUAAUCGUAGAUCAGAAUGCUACGGUGAAUACGUUCCCGGGCCUUGUACACACCGCCCGUCACACCAUGGGAGUGGGUUGCAAAAGAAGUAGGUAGCUUAACCUUCGGGAGGGCGCUUACCACUUUGUGAUUCAUGACUGGGGUG